rnacentral:rRNA from 1 species
AUUGAACGCUGGCGGCAGGCUUACCACAUGCAAGUCGAGCGGAGAUGAGGUGCUUGCACCUUACCUUAGCGGCGGCCGCGUGAGUAAUGCUUAGGAAUCUGCCUAUUAGUGGGGGACAACAUUCCGAAAGGAAUGCUAAUACCCCAUACGCGCCACGGGGGAAAGCAGGGGAUCUUCCGGCUUUGCGCUAAUAGAUGAGCCUAAGACGGAUUAGCUAGUUGGUGGGGUAAAGGCAUACCAAGGCGACGAUCUGUAGCGGGUCUGAGAGGAUGAUCCGCCACACUGGGACUGAGACACGGCCCAGACUCCUACGGGAGGCAGCAGUGGGGAAUAUUGGACAAUGGGCGGAAGCCUGAUCCAGCCAUGCCGCGUGUGUGAAGAAGGCCUUUUGGUUGUAAAGCACUUUAAGCGAGGAGGAGGCUACCUGGAUUAAUACUCUAGGAUAGUGGACGUUACUCGCAGAAUAAGCACCGGCUAACUCUGUGCCAGCAGCCGCCGCGGUA